AGCGAACGCUGGCGGCAGGCCUAAUACAUGCAAGUCGAACGGAUCCUUCGGGAUUAGUGGCGGACGGGUGAGUAACACGUGGGAACGUGCCCUUUGGUUCGGAACAACUCAGGGAAACUUGAGCUAAUACCGGAUAAGCCCUUCGGGGGAAAGAUUAUCGCCAUUGGAGCGGCCCGCGUCUGAUUAGCUAGUUGGUGGGGUAAAGGCCUACCAAGGCGACGAUCAGUAGCUGGUCUGAGAGGAUGAUCAGCCACACUGGGACUGAGACACGGCCCAGACUCCUACGGGAGGCAGCAGUAGGGAAUCUUGCGCAAUGGGCGAAAGCCUGACGCAGCCAUGCCGCGUGAAUGAUGAAGGUCUUAGGAUU
rnacentral:rRNA from 1 species